GACGAACGCUGGCGGCGUGCCUAAUACAUGCAAGUCGAACGCAGUGGGGACGGGUGAGUAACACGUGCGUCACCUCCCCAUCAAAGGGGAUAACACUUGGAAACAGCUGCUAAACCUAUACUGAUGGAUGGACCCGCGGUGCAUUAGCUAGUUGGUGAGGUAACGGCUCACCCAGGCCACGAUGCAUAGCCGACCGGAGAGUGUGAUCGGCCAAACUGGGACAGAGACACGGACCAGACUCCUACGGGAGGCAGCAGUAGGGAAUCUUCGGCAAUGGACGAAAGGCUGACCGAGAAACGCCGCGUGAGUGAAGAAGGGUUUCGGAGCGUAAAACUCUGUUGUUAGAGAAGCGGGAUCUAACCAGAAAGCCACGGCUAACUACGUGCCAGCAGCCGCGGUAAUUC
rnacentral:rRNA from 1 species